UGGUGGGCACUCUAAGGAGACUGCCGGUGGACAAACCGGAAGGAAGGUGGGGAGUGACGUCAAGUCAUCAUGGCCCUUACGGCCUGGGCUACACACGUGCUACAAUGGUCGGUACAAAGGGUUGCCAAGCCGCGAGGUGGAGCUAAUCCCAUAAAACCGAUCGUAGUCCGGAUCGCAGUCUGCAACUCGACUGCGUGAAGUCGGAAUCGCUAGUAAUCGUGAAUCAGAAUGUCACGGUGAAUACGUUCCCGGGCCUU
rnacentral:rRNA from 1 species